UGCCAGCAGCCGCGGUAAUACGGAGGGUGCGAGCGUUAAUCGGAAUUACUGGGCGUAAAGCGCGCGUAGGCGGCUUGAUUAGUCGGUUGUGAAAGCCCCGGGCUUAACCUGGGAAUUGCAUUCGAUACUGUCUAGCUAGAGUAUGGGAGAGGGAAGUGGAAUUUCCGGUGUAGCGGUGAAAUGCGUAGAUAUUGGAAAGAACACCAGCGGCGAAGGCGGCUACCUGGCUCGAUAUUGACGCUGAGGUGCGAAAGCGUGGGGAGCGAACAGGAUUAGAUA
rnacentral:rRNA from 1 species